CCAGCUCCAAUAGCGUAUAUUAAAGUUGUUGCAGUUAAAAAGCUCGUAGUUGGAUUUCUGACAGGGUGACCUCGCCCGCUUAUUGCGUGCGCGAAGCCGCUCUGUCAUCCUUCUUUUAACCCUUUAGACCUUAAUCAGUUUGCUGGGGGCUAAGAUAUUUUACCUUGAGAAAAUUAGAGUGUUUCAGGCAGGCUAGCGCCGGAAUACAUUAGCAUGGAAUAAUAGAAUAGGACUUUUACCUCUUCUGUUGGUCUGAGGGGUUCAAGUAAUGAUUAAUAGGGAUAGUUGGGGGCAUUAGUACUUAACUGUCAGAGGUGAAAUUCUCGGAUUUGUUAAAGACUAACUUAUGCGAAAGCAUUUGCCAAGGAUGUUUUCA
rnacentral:rRNA from 1 species